CCUACGGGAGGCAGCAGUAAGGAAUAUUGCGCAAUGGGCGACAGCCUGACGCAGCGACGCCGCGUGGAGGAUGAAGGUCUUCGGAUUGUAAACCCCUUUCGGCAGGGAAGAUGGAACGGGCAACCGUUCGGACGGUACCUGCAGAAGCAGCCACGGCUAACUUCGUGCCAGCAGCCGCGGUAAU
rnacentral:rRNA from 1 species